GAUGAACGCUGGCGGCGUGCCUAAUACAUGCAAGUCGAGCGAACAGACGAGGAUCUUGCUCCUCUGACGUUAGCGGCGGACGGGUGAGUAACACGUGGAUAACCUACCUAUAAGACUGGGAUAACUUCGGGAAACCGGAGCUAAUACCGGAUAAUAUAUUGAACCGCAUGGUUCAAUAGUGAAAGACGGUUUUGCUGUCACUUAUAGAUGGAUCCGCGCCGCAUUAGCUAGUUGGUAAGGUAACGGCUUACCAAGGCGACGAUGCGUAGCCGACCUGAGAGGGUGAUCGGCCACACUGGAACUGAGACACGGUCCCGACUCCUACGGGAAGCAGCAGUAGGGAAUCUUCCGCAAUGGGCGAAAGCCUGACGGAGUAACGCCGCGUGAGUGAUGAAGGUCUUCGGAUCGUAAAACUCUGUUAUUAGGGAAGAACAAAUGUGUAAGUAACUAUGCACGUCUUGACGGUACCUAAUCAGAAAGCCACGGCUAACUACGUG
rnacentral:rRNA from 1 species